rnacentral:rRNA from 1 species
UACAGAGGGUGCAAGCGUUAAUCGGAAUUACUGGGCGUAAAGCGCGCGUAGGCGGCUGUCUAAGUCGGGUGUGAAAGCCCCGGGCUCAACCUGGGAACUGCAUUCGAUACUGGACGGCUAGAGUAUGAGAGAGGGAGGUAGAAUUCCACGUGUAGCGGUGAAAUGCGUAGAUAUGUGGAGGAAUACCGGUGGCGAAGGCGGCCUCCUGGACCGAGACUGACACUGAGGAGCGAAAGCCAGGGGAGCAAACGGG